CCCUUAGAUGUUCUGGGCCGCACGCGCGCUACAAUGAUGAAUUCAACGAGUUUAUAACCUUGGUUGAAAAGCCUGGGUAAUCUUUUGAACUUUCGUCGUGAUGGGGCUAGACCCUUGCAAUUAUUGGUCUCCAACGAGGAAUUCCUAGUAAACGCAAGUCAUCAGCUUGCAUUGAUUACGUCCCUGCCCUUUGUACACACCGCCCGUCGCACCUACCGAUUUAAUGGUCCGGUGAAAUCUUCGGAUUGAGACUUUGAUUUCUUCACGGAAAACGCUGUUUUAAAAAGUUGAUUAAACCUUACCAUUUAGAGGAAGGUGAAGUCGUAACA
rnacentral:rRNA from 1 species